UUGAAAACAAACUAAAAUGAGCGACAUGUCACUGAGUCCAUUAGCUCAAGCCACCUCAGACAGACCAUCAUGGGCCACCACGCCAGAAAUUAUUUUAGGCGUCGGUGGCCACCAGAAAUUCAAAUCAAACACCUCAUUGAAACCGUCUCAUCCUCCCUGAUCUGAAUCUUUAAUGAAUUUCAACCUAUACCACGCGUAGAACACUUACCGAAUCCAAACACUCCACACCCUAAGUCUUGAGAUACGAAUUGAACAACGAUCUGAAGGAAUUGAAGCUCCUCGUGUGAGGGCCCAAUUCUUCACCCUAAUAACUACAGGACUGUAAAUAAAAUCAAGAUGAAAUAAGGACUAAAUCUUACCAACGGAACGGAGGAGUGUCCCGGAUUUUGUUGAAAUAGAAGGGGACAAUAUUGAAUAAGAAAUCUAGAGAUUCUUCAGGUUUGCAUUACGAAUGUGUGUGUAGCUGCAAGUCUGAUGUGCUAUUGCUGCAAAUGAAUGUGAUUGUUGCAGCUGAAUGUUAUGCAGGCCUUGGUUGCUAAUUCAUUCAAAGUCUUGCGCUGCUAUGGUUUUGUAGGUGAAAAUGAGGUUUUGCAUUAAAGAACUUGGCUUGAAAUGGAAAUGGUGUAGCUUGCUCAUGAAGGAGUGUAAAAUUGUUGGGCAUUGCUGAUGUUUUGGAACCCAAGUAGGAAUGUCAUGAUAAAAAGGGCCAUGUGAUGUAUGCCAAAACAUGUAGUAUGCAAGCAAGUAUAGCAUUAGGAUUUUUCUUUGUAUGGACAUGAACACAUGUAAUGACAUGCAAAUAUUCAUGGAUGAAUGUUAUGGAAUGUAUGAUUGAAAAUUGGAAUUCAAGACUUUUAGAACAAUUGUGUUGACUUUGGUCAAGGUUGACCAAAAAGUCAACUGUAGACCAAAAUCAACCUUUGGUCAAA